rfam:Toxocara canis scaffold1672, whole genome shotgun sequence.
GAGGCAGUAGCUCAGUCGUAGAGCCCCGCUUCGCAUGCAGGGAGACCUGGGUUCGAUUCCCGGCUGCUUCC